rnacentral:rRNA from 1 species
CAGCGCCACGAGUGGGGGUCACGAUUAUUGGGCCUAAAGCGUCCGUAGCCGGUUCAGCAAAUCCUUUGUGAAAUCGUUGGGCUCAACCCAACGGCGUGCAGGGGACACUACUGAACUAGGGACCGGGAGGGGUUGGAGGUAUUUCUGAGGGAGCGGUAAAAUGCUAUAAGCUCAGGAGGACCACCUGUGGCGAAGGCGUCCAACCAGAACGGAUCCGACGGUGAGGGACGAAAGCUGGGGGAGCGAUCCGGAUUAGAGACCCGAGUAGUCC